UACGGGGGGAGCAAGCGUUGUUCGGAUUUACUGGGCGUAAAGGGCGCGUAGGCGGUCAGCACAAGUCAGUUGUGAAAUCUCCGGGCUUAACUCGGAAAGGUCAACUGAUACUGUGCGACUAGAGUGCGGAAGGGGCAACUGGAAUUCUCGGUGUAGCGGUGAAAUUCGUAGAUAUUCGCAAGAACACCAGUGGCGAAGGCGGCUCACUGGCCCGGUACUGACGCUGAGGUGCGAAAGCGUGGGGAGCAAACAGG
rnacentral:rRNA from 1 species